rnacentral:rRNA from 1 species
GUGAACGCUGGCGGCAGGCCUAACACAUGCAAGUCGCGCGGCAGCGCGGGGGCAACCCUGGCGGCGAGCGGCGGACGGGUGAGGAAUUCGUCGGAAUCUGCCUUUUUGUGGGGGAUAACGUAGGGAAACUUACGCUAAUACCGCAUACGUCCUACGGGAGAAAGUGGGGGACCGCAAGGCCUCACGCAGAAAGAUGAGCCGACGACCGAUUAGCUAGUUGGUGGGGUAAAGGCCCACCAAGGCGACGAUCGGUAGCUGGUCUGAGAGGAUGAUCAGCCACACUGGGCUUGGGAACGGGCCAGACUCCUACGGGAGGCAGCAGUGGGGAAUAUUGGACAAUGGGCGCAAGCCUGAUCCAGCCAUGCCGCGUGUGUGAAGAAGGCCUUCGGGUUGUAAAGCACUUUUGUCCGGAAAGAAAUCCCUGGAGCUAAUACCUUCGGGGGAUGACGGUACCGGAAGAAUAAGCACCGGCUAACUUCGUG